UACGUAGGUGGCAAGCGUUGUCCGGAUUUACUGGGCGUAAAGAGCGCGCAGGCGGCUGGUCAAGUCCGAUGUGAAAGCUCCCGGCUUAACUGGGAAACGGCAUCGGAAACUGAUCGGCUUGAAGGUGGGAGAGGGUAGUGGAAUUCCCGGUGUAGCGGUGAAAUGCGUAGAGAUCGGGAGGAACAUCAGUGGCGAAGGCGGCCAUCUGGGACAACACUGACGCUGAAGCACGAAAGCGUGGGGAGCAAACAGG
rnacentral:rRNA from 1 species